CGGGGAGAGAGAGUCUUGACUAAAACAGGUGGUCUAUAACACUAGGAAAUACACAUUACCCUCGUUAUCAACACACCUGCUGCUUCUAAUGUGGAGAUAGAUAUUUAAGGAUAUCUGUUCAUUGUUCUCUGGAAUACUUUGUUGGGGUGUCAUGAAACUGAAUCCACAUCAAGCUCCGAUAUAUGGUAAGGUUGUGAUAACAGUACAGCUAUGUGACGGAGAGCAGACUCAGGAUGAGGAGGGUGAGGAGUACUUCCUGUUGUUCUCUGGGUCCUCCCAGAGUCACCUGACCAGUGCAUUGUGGAGCGGCCAUGACACCCUGCACACCCUCU